CGCGUAGGCGGUUUGAUAAGUCAGAUGUGAAAGCCCACGGCUUAACCGUGGAAGUGCAUUUGAUACUGUUAGACUUGAGUACCAGAGGGGAAAGUGGAAUUCCCGGUGUAGAGGUGAAAUUCGUAGAUAUCGGGAGGAAUACCGGUGGCGAAGGCGACUUUCUGGCUGGAUACUGACGCUGAGGCGCGAAAGCGUGGGGAGCAAACAG
rnacentral:rRNA from 1 species